rnacentral:rRNA from 1 species
CCUGAACGCUGGCGGCGUGGCUAAGACAUGCAAGUCGCACGGUGUAGCAAUACACAGUGGCGAACGGGUGAGUAAUGAAUCGCUAAUGUACCCUGGACUCUGGGAUAGCUGGCCGAAAGGCCAGGUAAUACCAGAUGAGACCACGAACAGGCAUCUGUUUGUGCUCAAAGGUCCGCCGGUCUGGGAGCAGGCGAUUUCGUAUCAGCAGUUGGGUGAGGUAACGGCUCACCAAGGCGACGACGCCGUAGCCGGACUGAGAGGUUGGCCGGCACAUCGGGACUGAGACACUGCCCC